rnacentral:misc_RNA from 1 species
AUUAUUAUUAUUAUUAUUAUUAAUCUCGUUAUUGGAACAUACAGUAGCAAGAAUAUAGAGAUACAUGUGCCUCUCAUCACAUCAUCAGCUAAGUACCGAACCUCUUACACAAAAGAAUACCCAGUAAACAAUAACACCUUACACAACAAAGUAUAAAUGGCACGCAAUCAACAAAAACCAUCACCUGCAAAAGAAAAUAAUUGCUAUUAGAUAUAAUCAACUAAGCAUGCCAGUAAGUUAAAAAUUAAGCUAUUCGAAUACAUCAUUCAUCAUGAAUGACUGGGAAGGCAGGGUUCUGUUUGAGGAUCUUCCAUUAAGAUUGACUGGUUUUCUUUUGCAAGACCAUUAACAAACAUGUUAUUGAAACAAUGAAACAUCAUCCAUUUCAUUUGUGCCCUCUUAGUAAAAAUUCUACUCCCAUAAAAGUUAAUUAUGGUGAACUUUUAAAGAUUGAUUGUAUUUAACAGUUGAAUCUACUUGCUUUCCCAGUGAAGUAUCUGAUCCAAAGAAAAUCAAUGCGACUGGAAAAGAACUUAAAAAUUUAAGGAACUCAAAGCCUUAAAUUUUCAAAGAAAGAAAACCAGGCCUGACAUUUCAAACGAGAAUGAAGGCCUGGCAACAGUCUUACCUUAAUAUAUAUUUGAUUCAAUAUCUCUGGCAUUAUUGCAACACCUAGACUGCAGCCUGAAACCACAAAUGAAAGAGGGGCAAUGUACAAAUGAGCUGAUUCAGAUUAGAAUUUCUAAGUUGCUACUUUUCCAUGUACACUUCACAAUUAGUACAAGAAAUAGAAGACUUGCUAAAGUAAUUUAAAAAGGUUAUUGCAUGGAUAUGUGGUUAUGAAAUUUUUUUUUUCUUGGUUUUUUGAACUCCAAAUUAUACAGCAUUUGACCAACGUCAUCAUGUUUAUUUUGCAGGCCCUAACUGUUUAAUACAACAAAAACUUUCAAGAGUGUCUUUUUCCACACUAAAAUCAAUCCCCAAUGCUUAAUAAUUUUUCCACAAACUCCCCACUAGAAAAAUAGUUCUAGGAAAAGAUUCCUGAUAUAUACUUUCCACAAUCUUAAGCGAUAGCUUUACUGAGUAAGUUAAGUGUGCAUCAGUAACGUGACAGUUCUUUUUGCUAGUACCAAAUGUUAUUAGUCACAGUUUAGAAUGGUCCUGGAAUCAAGCAUAUUUGCAUAAUAUAGCUCUUUUUAAUACCCAAACUCACUUGCACCAUAUUAUUCUUUUCAUCAUUCCAUGUGUCAUUACACACGCAAUAAAAAAGCUCACUUAUGCUUGCAAUAACUAAUAAUGCAUUCAUUCAGCACCCAGGAAAUCCAGUUCAGCACUUAGUGACCCCAGAUUGAACCCAGAAAAAUUUUGAUACUUUUAAAGGAAAGAAAUAAUAUGUCAUUUUUGACAUGAGGUGGCAAACAAACUCAUUGAAUCAAAGCUCCAUCUGAUUCAUAUUUCCCUUAUUAUAUUUACAAAAUAAUAAUUAAUUCCUUUUCCAAAUUUUGCUUUCCAUUCAUCAUGGAAAACCUACAAGAUAGAACAUCUAUGUCUUUUUACCUUCUCAUCUUUUUGGGUAAAAAUUGCUUUAACCGCCUCAAAAACCUCCUCAACUGAUCUACCGGCAUCAAUCUUCCGAACUUUUCCCUUGGAGUCAUAGUACUCAACCACCGGGAUACUAGACUCUAAAAAUACUUUAAACCGCUUCCUUAUUGUCUCGAUGUUAUCAUCUACUCUUCCCUGAUUCCUAUUCAAAAGGCGUCUCUCCAUCUCUUCUUCAGAACAAUCAAAGAACAAGACAAACUCUGGCACAAUUUUGGUAAUAGCUUCGAAUGCUGCACGGUUUUCCUCAUUACGAGGAAAACCAUCAAUCAGAAAUUUGUCAUUGCCACUUUCCUGCAUUGCUUUUUGAAGAAGAUUAAUUGUUACCUCCGAGGGCACAAUCUUCCCCUCCUUAAUCAUGUCUUGAAUCAUGGUUCCAUUUUCAGAGCCAGAGUUGAUUUCUGCUCGAAGAAGAUCUCCAGCACUGAGAUGAGUAUAACCGAAGUGCUGGACAAUAUUUGUGCACUGGGUACCCUUUCCGCUGCCUGGGCCACCCAAAACAAAAACAACUGUAGGCUUCUUCUCAGCUACAUUUCCAUUUUCCUCCUUUAUCGCAGCAUCAACAGACGUUCCCAUAGGUUUGGAUUAGCUUGCGUUUUCAAAUAUUAUCUUUAGAUACGUCAAUACGAAGCGCAGAUUUGGAGUCAGUCAUAGUGAAAAACGACACGAUUUGAAUUAAAAGAACUUCCCAUUAAUUCUCAGCAGAUCCAAUUCUGCUACAGCUUAUCAGUCCUGAGAGAAAAUAAACCUACUUUGGACCAAUAGAGCUGUGUUCUGUUUUUGUAAAGGCUAAGUUGAAAUGAAACUAAUACAACUGAUUAGCUGAGAUCAUAAUCUGAAGGGAAAAAAAAUGUAUGUGAAAGGAUAAGAGAUCAUAAUUAGUGGAUCAGAUAAGCGCAGAUUUGGAGAUUAACAAGAAAGAGUUGAAUCUAAGCAAAAGAGAAGAGAAGAUAAGAGAUCAAACAAGUAAGGAGAUAGGUGGAGAGGA